GACGAACGCUGGCGGCGUGCUUAACACAUGCAAGUCGAACGGGAUCCGGGCUUUCGGGUUUGGUGAGAGUGGCGAACGGGUGAGUAACACGUGAGUAACCUGCCCCCUUCUUUGGGAUAACGUCGGGAAAUCGGAGCUAAUACUGGAUAUUCUUGCUGCAUCGCAUGGUGUGGUUUGGAAAGGGUUUCUGGUGGGGGAUGGGCUCGCGGCCUAUCAGCUUGUUGGUGGGGUGAUGGCCUACCAAGGCUUUGACGGGUAGCCGGCCUGAGAGGGUGUCCGGCCACACUGGGACUGAGACACGGCCCAGACUCCUACGGGAGGCAGCAGUGGGGAAUAUUGCACAAUGGGCGCAAGCCUGAUGCAGCGACGCCGCGUGAGGGAUGACGGCCUUCGGGUUGUAAACCUCUUUCAGUAUGGAACAAGGAUCCUUCUUUUGGGGGGUUUGAGGGUACGUGCAGAAGAAGCGCCGGCUAACUACGUG
rnacentral:rRNA from 1 species